CCUGCAAGCAUCUGCUUUGCCAAGCUGCUUGUCACGUCUGCUUGACUGUCUUGGGAGUCAGCAGAAUGAGCGGCUGCAUGAACAUCUGUGCCUAGACUGUCUCACGUAGCUCUCUGGAAAAAGUGAGAAGUUCCUCUCUACAGGUUCAGAGGGGGAGAAGCCUUUGAAUAUUAUCUCUGCAAACAGUGGGCAGAUGAUACUCCAGCCCAGAAUCAAGGAACACUCCCCAGUUCUUGAGAGGAUCAUUUGGGGUUAAUUUUGGGGGAGAAGCUUAGCCCUGCUGGGGGUGUUUUGGAUGCAGACAGUUUGCUGGGGUAACUGAGCUCUGAGGUAUUUAAUCCUCUCAUUGUAAAAUCAAACAAUAAAAAUCCUCAAAACGAA